rnacentral:rRNA from 1 species
ACCUACGACGUCAGCCUGCCCAGUGACGAAGUUCAACGGCCGCGGUACCCUAACCGUGCGAAGGUAGCAUAAUCACUUGUUCUUUAAAUGAGGACUUGUAUCAACGGCACUACGAGGGCUAUACUGUCUCCUUUUUCCAAUCAGUGAAACUGAUCUCCCCGUGAAGAAGCGGGGAUCAAAAUAUAAGACGAGAAGACCCCAUGGAGCUUUAAACUCUCUGUGCACUUCUGUGCCCCUACAUCAUUAGACAUAAGAAAUCUGUACACUAGUUUUAGGUUGGGGGGACCACGGAGUACAACUUAACCUCCUUAACAAAUGGGUUAAUACCCUUAUCCACGAGACACACCUCUAAGAAUUAUUAAACUAAUGCCUAUGACCCGAUAUUCGAUCAAUGAACCAAGUUACCCUGGGGAUAACAGCGCAAUCUACUUCAAGAGCCCAUAUCGACAAGUAGGUUUACGACCUCGAUGUUGGAUCAGGGUAUCCCGGUGGUGCAGCCGCUACCAAUGGUUCGUUUGUUCAACGAUUAAAACCCUACGUGAUCUGUUUU